rnacentral:rRNA from 1 species
CCUACGGGUGGCAGCAGUGGGGAAUAUUGGACAAUGGGCGAAAGCCUGAUCCAGCCAUGCCGCGUGUGUGAAGAAGGCCUUCGGGUUGUAAAGCACUUUCAGUGGGGAAGAAAGCCUUGGGGCUAAUACCCUCGAGGAAGGACAUCACCCACAGAAGAAGCACCGGCUAACUCCGUGCCAGCAGCCGAGGUAAUACGGAGGGUGCGAGCGUUAAUCGGAAUUACUGGGCGUAAAGCGCGCGUAGGCGGUCUGAUAAGCCGGUUGUGAAAGCCCCGGGCUCAACCUGGGAACGGCAUCCGGAACUGUCAGGCUAGAGUGCAGGAGAGGAAGGUAGAAUUCCCGGUGUAGCGGUGAAAUGCGUAGAGAUCGGGAGGAAUACCAGUGGCGAAGGCGGCCUUCUGGACUGACACUGACGCUGAGGUGCGAAAGCGUGGGUAGCAAACAGGAUUAGAUACCCGGGUAGUC